UACGUAGGGUGCGAGCGUUAAUCGGGAUUACUGGGCGUAAAGCGUGCGUAGGCGGUCCGCAAAGUCUGAUGUGAAAGCCCCGGGCUCAACCUGGGAACUGCAUUGGAAACUAACGGGCUCGAGUGUGGCAGAGGGGGGUGGAAUUCCACGUGUAGCAGUGAAAUGCGUAGAGAUGUGGAGGAACACCGAUGGCGAAGGCAGCCCCCUGGGCUAACACUGACGCUCAGGCACGAAAGCGUGGGGAGCAAACAGG
rnacentral:rRNA from 1 species